rnacentral:rRNA from 1 species
AGUGAACGCUGGCGGUAGGCCUAACACAUGCAAGUCGAACGGCAGCACAGUAAGAGCUUGCUCUUACGGGUGGCGAGUGGCGUACGGUUGAGGUAUACAUCGUAAUCUACUUUUUCGUGGGUGAUAACGUAGGGAAACUUACGCUAAUACCUCAUACUACCUACGGGUGAAAUCAUGGGAUCUUCGGACCUUUCGCGCUUGUAUGAGCCGAUGUCGGAUUAGCUUGUUGGCGGGGUAAAGGCCCACCAAGGCGACGAUCCGUAGCUGGUCUGAGAGGAUGAUCAGAGACACUGGAAGUGAGACACGGUCCAGACUACUACGGGAGGAAGCAGUGGGGAAUAUUGGACAAUGGGCGCAAGCCUGAUCCAGCAAUACCGAGUGGGUGAAGAAGGCGUUAGGGUUGUAAAGACCUUUUGUUGGGAAAGAAAAGAAGCAGGUGAAAACCCCGCUGUAAUGACGGUACCAAAAGAAUAAGCACCGGCUAACUUCGUG